rnacentral:lncRNA from 13 species
UCUGUUUCCCUUGUGAUGCUGUUAUUACCCAUCUGUUUCCCUUGUGAUGCUGUUAUUACGAUCUGUUUCCCUUGUGAUGCUGUUAUUACCAUCUGUUUCCCUUGUGAUGCUGUUAUUACCAUCUGUUUCCCUUGUGAUGCUGUUAUUACCAUCUGUUUCCCUUGUGAUGCUGUUAUUACCAUCUGUUUCCCUUGUGAUGCUGUUUUUAUAUAAUUGGAGGUUUGACCUGAUCUGUCCUAACUGUAGUUUGGAUGUUAACUUUAUUGUUAGAUACCCUUGAAGUUGGUGUUUUUUGUAAAUAGUUGAAAAUAAAGGCAACAGAGUGUUUUCCUGAAGGGGUUUUCAAAACACACACACACACACACACACACACACACACACACACACAAAUCAAUCAUGAUUGGUUCAGCCUUUGUUCUGUUAGAAGUACUCUCUGCGCUCUCUUCCCUUUGGCCUCUACUUUGAAGGUAGACCGAUACAGAAUGGUCUGACUGGCAUGCUUCAUACUUAGGCACGGGGAAAAAAAAGGAGUUGAUUAAUUGAUGAGCAGCUCAAGCAGAGGUUGACCCUUUGGUUCUAGAAAACACCUGGAGGAAAAUUACAGGCUACAGAGUAUCUGUUCAGCUGAAUCUGCUACACACCCUCUUUCUCGAGUCAUCUUUCCUUGAUUCCUCACAUCCUCUCUCCUCACCCCCUUCUCAAAACCCAUUGGAGAAGAAGUUACGAGGGAAGUGACCUUGGACCUUUUCAUACUGCUCAGAAGGAUGCAAGGAAUCACAGAAAGACCAGUAGAGAGUGCAGGCUCAUAGAACUCUGGUCUAAAGUAGUGCACUAUAUAGGGAAUAGGGUGCCAUAGGGCUCUGGUAUAAAGUAUUGCACUAUGUAGGGAGCAUGGUGCCAUAGGGCUCUGGUUUAAAGUAGUGCACUAUAUAUAUAUAAGGAAUAGGGUGCCAUUUCCUUACUAUCUUCAUUAGGAGUUUUCGUUUAUUCUUUCUUCUGCCCAACUAAUGAAGGACCAUUAGAUGAUUACAUUACAUCUCAUUAGAAAUGACUAGUUUGUUUUGUAGAUCUCCUCAUUUUGAUAAUGGACAGAAUUACACAUCCAAAAUAAUCAAGAAAGCUAAUAUUCAUGUUUUUUAAAAUCUUGUGGCCCAAUGAAAUCACUUAACGAGGCAAUUAACAGACGUUCUAAUUAGAAAACCAUAAAUGAGUUGUUGAGGAGUAAAGCAUCAUGUGAACAGAGUGCAGUAGGCAGGCUGGGGACACACACUGCUGCUGUCCUGCUGCUGUUCUGUCCCUCUGCUGCUGUUCUGUCCCCCUGCUGCUGUUCUGUCCCCCUGCUGCUGUUCUGUCCCCCUGCUGCUGUUCUGCUGCUGCUCUGUCCCGCUGCUGCUGUCCUGCUGCUGGUCUGUCCCUCUGCUGCUGUUCUGUCCCGCUGCUGCUGUUCUGU